rnacentral:ncRNA from 1 species
AGGCCGUUGCAGGGGAACUCGAUGCGUUCACGUUCUGGCGAACUGGCGGAAGGUGAAGUACCGGGUUGAGAAAGGCGAGACGCCUGACCCUUGGAACCUGUUGGUCAACACCAUCGAAGGGAGCAAUUAUGGCAUUCGA